rnacentral:rRNA from 1 species
UACGUAGGGUGCGAGCGUUGUCCGGAAUUAUUGGGCGUAAAGAGCUCGUAGGCGGUUUGUUGCGUCUAUCGUGAAAACCUGCAGCUUAACUGUGGGCUUGCGGUGGAUACGGGCAGACUUGAGUUCGGUAGGGGGAGACUGGAAUUCCUGGUGUAGCGGUGAAAUGCGCAGAUAUCAGGAGGAACACCAAUGGCGAAGGCAGCUCGCUGGGACGUGACUGACGCUGAGACGCGAAAGCGUGGGGAGCAAACAGG